UACGUAGGGUGCGAGCGUUAAUCGGAAUUACUGGGCGUAAAGCGUGCGCAGGCGGUGAUGUAAGGCCGAUGUGAAAUCCCCGGGCUUAACCUGGGAACUGCAUUGGUGACUGCAUUGCUGGAGUAUGGCAGAGGGGGGGUGGAAUUCCACGUGUAGCAGUGAAAUGCGUAGAGAUGUGGAGGAACACCGAUGGCGAAGGCAGCCCCCUGGGUCAAGAUUGACGCUCAUGCACGAAAGCGUGGGGAGCAAACAGG
rnacentral:rRNA from 1 species